UUAACACAUGCAAGUCGAACGAGAAAGUGGAGCAAUCCAUGAGUACAGUGGCGUACGGGUGAGUAACACGUGGGUAAUCUACCUCUUGGUGGGGAAUAACCCUGGGAAACCGGGGCUAAUACCGCAUAAGCUCGGAAGAGGAAACCCGAAAGGGACCGAGAGAGGAGCCCGCGGCCGAUUAGCUAGUUGGUGAGGUAAAGGCUCACCAAGGCGAUGAUCGGUAGCCGGCCUGAGAGGGCACACGGCCACACUGGCACUGAAACACGGGCCAGACUCCUACGGGAGGCAGCAGUGGGGAAUCUUGCACAAUGGGGGCAACCCUGAUGCAGCGACGCCGCGUGAGCGAUGAAGCCCUUCGGGGUGUAAAGCUCUUUCGGCCGGAACGAUAAUGACGGUACCGGCAGAAGAAGCUGCGGCUAACUACGUGCCAGCAGCCGCGGUAAUACGUAGGCAGCGAGCGUUGUUCGGAGUUACUGGGCGUAAAGAGUGCGUAGGCGGUG
rnacentral:rRNA from 1 species